rnacentral:rRNA from 1 species
GGGCCCGCACAAGCGGUGGAGCAUGUGGUUUAAUUCGAUGAUACGCGAGGAACCUUACCAGGGCUUAAAUGCAGUAUGACAGAUUUGGAAACAGAUUUUUCUUCGGACAUAUUGCAAGGUGCUGCAUGGUUGUCGUCAGCUCGUGCCGUGAGGUGUCAGGUUAAGUCCUAUAACGAGCGCAACCCCUAUUUCUAGUUGCCAGCACAUAAUGGUGGGGACUCUAGAGAGACUGCCGGUGCAAACCGUGAGGAAGGUGGGGAUGACGUCAAAUCAUCACGGCCCUUACGUCCUGGGCUACACACGUGCUACAAUGGUAGGGACAGAGAGCAGCCACUUCGCGAGAAGGAGCGAAUCUACAAACCCUAUCUCAGUUCGGAUCGCAGUCUGCAACUCGACGGCAUGAAGUCGGAAUCGCUAGUAAUCG